CACGUAGGGGGCGAGCGUUGUCCGGAUUUAUUGGGCGUAAAGAGCUCGUAGGCGGUUUGGCAAGUCGGGUGUGAAAUUUCGAGGCCCAACCUCGAAACGCCACUCGAUACUGCCAUGACUGGAGUCCGGUAGAGGAGUGCGGAAUUCCUGGUGUAGCGGUGAAAUGCGCAGAUAUCAGGAGGAACACCAACGGCGAAGGCAGCACUCUGGGCCGGUACUGACGCUGAGGAGCGAAAGCGUGGGGAGCAAACAGG
rnacentral:rRNA from 1 species